CAGUAGCCGCGGGAAUACCGAGGGUGCGAGCGUUAAUCGGAUUUACUGGGCGUAAAGCGUGCGUAGGCGGCUUCUUAAGUCGGAUGUGAAAUCCCUGAGCUUAACUUAGGAAUUGCAUUCGAUACUGGGAAGCUAGAGUAUGGGAGAGGAUGGUAGAAUUCCAGGUGUAGCGGUGAAAUGCGUAGAGAUCUGGAGGAAUACCGAUGGCGAAGGCAGCCAUCUGGCCUAAUACUGACGCUGAGGUACGAAAGCAUGGGGAGCAAACAGGAUUAGAUACCCGCGUAGUCCCUGUCUCUUAUAC
rnacentral:rRNA from 1 species